UGUUAAAAAUGGGGUGUUACGUAGCACACUAAUUUUAGUAGGUAAAUGUCAGUGGUGUGUUAAUGAACACACUCGUGUGUUUGUCGUGCUCAACAACACACUUGGAGUGUAAUAGAACACACUCGGGUGACACAACAGAAUGGUGUGUUACUGAACACUCUGACAUCCAUACAGUGGUGUAAAGUAGCACACGAUAUAUAAGAUAUUAAGAAGGUCUUUUUACUUUUCAGAUACCAGAAUUAAUAUUUAUGUUCCACUUAGUACAGUUAGAUCACCAAGAGUGCUAAGUAUGUGCAAGUGAAAUAAGAGUUGAAAUGCUGCAGUCCCUGCAAAUGCGGGAAACAACUUGCUAUCACUCUCAAAGGAAGCUUUAUACUUUGCAAACCCAGAAAUCCAGGUCCUAAAAGUAUGGCUAUAGUAUAUAGAAGCCUGCAAUGCAUGUAGAAUCUCUACAUGCAUGCUAUACUAGAGCUAAGUGGCUAAGUCCAGACCUUCUGUGUGCGCAUGCGCAUUGAGGCUAGAAGCACAUGUAGUGUGCUUUAAUUAAAAUCAACAAAAAGAAGAACUGGAGAAGAACUCAAUUUAGCUCUGUACUAACUGCACUGAGUAUUUAGCUUUCCUGAAGAAUAUACACUACUGCAGCACUUCAUGGAGCUUCCAAAGGCCAUUCAUGUGCCCAGAACUUGACCUCAUUCUUGACUUGAGCACUGUUUGGGUAUAGAAGUGACUAUUCUCUGGGACAUACUAACUGCUAUAAAUGUGCAGAAAAGUAUCCAGGACUGACAAGAUGAGAUACAAGAUGACUUCAAUCAAAAUGUGCUACUGCUGCUGUGCGCUCUUUCGUCAAAAAGGAAACAUGUGAUGUGCUGUCAUUAACAGUAAUGUGUUAUGUAAUAAUCCUAACAUUUAAAUAGUCGUUCGUUGUAUAAUUAUAGUCGUUCGUUGUAUAUAUGUUUUUGAUUUGUGUUAAAUGACUUGUACAUUUCGUUGAAAUUGCAACAGCACCAAGCUAGAA